CGGUGAUAUCCAAUUUUUUAGCUGGAUAGUCUUCUCCGCCCCUUUCCCCCACAAUAUAUAUAUAUAAACCAACAUUACCUUCCCAAUCUGUCCCUCGAAACCUCGCUUCAUAAAGGUUUAUAGCUGUCCAGUAUGGGGUUUAAUAAGGUUUAUCAAUGCUUGAUGGGUAUUUUUCCUCAGGUUGAUUCUCGUAUUCUAAAAGCUGUUGCUAUCGAAAACUCUAAGGAUGUCGAUGCAGCAGCAGAGAUUGUUCUGUCUGAGAUUAUGCCUUACCUAUCUAAACAAGCUGUGGCUGCUAGUUCUUCCUCACAGAACCAGAGUCCUCGAGAGCAACCAAAUGAAGCUGUAGAUGAGGAAGAAAACAAUCAGUUGAGGAGGCGAAGGGCAUUCUUGGGCAAAAGAGCAUGCUCUUCUACAGGAUCGUUGUUGGAACCAAAUGAAGUUGUCAGAGAUGCUUGCCUUACAGGUGCUGCCAGCAAUGUGGAUUCUUUUGAGGCACCAAAUAUAGCGACUACUUCAAAAUUCCAUGAGAACAACAGUAAUGAGGCUGCUGAUAUUGAAACUGAGGAAUUGAUUUUGUUAGGGAACCCAGAAAACAUUUCUGAAAUUGGGAAAGAUAAGUCUAGUGUCAGCUUGAAUGCUUUAGGGAUUGAGAAUUCUCUGCUAUAUGCAGAUCCUGAAAUCAAGGAGUCAGGUUCGUUGAGUAAAGACCAAGCCAUAGACAUCAAAGAUGGGUUUGUGAGGACUCCUCAUGUUUCACCAAUUACCUCAGCUGAUGAUUCUACCUCACUGCUGGUUAAUACCGGUAGUAGUGGCAGCUCUAAUGAUUAUUUAAAAUUUGAUGGGCCUGUGGGAGUGAAUGUAGAUUUCUGCAGAAACAUUUCAUUAAAUGGAACCAUGGUAGGGGAAGAAAAUGCUGUGACUCUGCUGUUUCCAUCAACUUCUCAAGAACAAAUGCCAGAAGGCCUGAGAGCUGGUCCUUGUUCUGAAAGUGGUUCUAUUAUUCACUCUACUGAUUCCGAGAAACAAGAAAGAGGUUCACUAGAACUUAAAUCCCAGCAGGACUCCAGUAGUGAAAUGGGUGAUAAUGAGGAUGAUACCUUCAAUUCUGUUGUUAGUAGGUCUAGUCAAACAUGCAGAAUUGAUCUACUUGAAGAGAUCAUUGAAGAUGCUAAAAAUAACAAGAAAACCUUGUUUCAGGCCAUGCAGUCAAUUAUGAACUUGAUGAGAGAAGUCGAACUUCAAGAGGAAGCUGCAGAACAGGCAAAAGAGGAAGCUGCUAGGGGAGGUUUUGAUAUUCUCAUCAAGGUGGAGGAACUUAAACAGAUGCUGCCACUUGCAAAGGAAGCAAAUGACAUGCAUGCUGGAGAAGUAUAUGGGGAGAAGGCAAUUCUAGCCACUGAAGUGAGGGAGCUUCAAAGUCGCUUGCUCAGCUUGUCGGAGGAAAGAGAUAAAUCUCUUGCCAUUCUCGAUGAGAUGCGACAAACCCUCGAAGUCCGACAAGCUGCAGCAGAGGAGUUGUUGAAAACAGCAGAGCAGGAAAAGUGGGAAAAAGAAGAACAUGCACGUAAUGCUCUUGCUGAACAAGAAGCCAUUAGGGUGAAGGUGGUUGAAGAGUCCAAGAUUUUACAACAGGAGGCAGAACAAAAUGGCAAGUUACGUGAGUUUCUUAUGGAGCGUGGUCUGAUUGUUGACUCAUUACAGGGAGAAAUAUCUGUUAUUUGUGAGGAUGUGAGAUUGCUUAAAGAGAAGUUUGAUGAGCGUGUUCCAUUAAGUAAAUCUAUAUCCUCAAGCCAAACUAGCUGCAUCCUUGCCUCCUCUGGCUCAUCUCUGAAAAGCAUGGCGUCUGAUCUUGGUCCCGAGCAGGGGGAGAAAGCUAUAACCCUAGAGAAGAGAAGCUUGACACCAUCUGUUGAUAAGCAAUCACCAAAAAUCAGAUCAUCAGAGGAAAGAUACAAAGCCGAUGGCAAAGAGCUGUUGGAUGACGGAUGGGAAUUUUUUGACAGAGAUGCUGAUUUAUGAAUUGCAGAGUGAAGCUAUGAUGCAACAUAAACGGGUCCCUUCUGGCUUCGGUUAUAAAUGGCGUUUAUAAGUCUGCAUUUUUAAUGAAAUAAUCAUUUGCUAAGUAAAAGGAUCCUUGAUUCAAGCACUACUGAGGGACUUGGUAGCAAACUUGGGUCGGUACUGGCAGUUCUUGGAUUGAAUGUACCAUGUAAUUUUAGGUAUCUUCUGUUUCUGGCUUUAUAAUUCAUUUUAGCGGAGUAAAAAAAAAUACUAGUAUUUGGAUUCCCUGUUGAUGUUUAAUUCAACACUUCGGUGGAUUAAAUAAUCAAAAGAUGGAAUGGAAGCAUUUAGAUGUACGGUGAAGUGCACAAGAGAUGAAGGAAAUUGAAUUUAGAUAGGUUGGGUUUUAACUUGAAUAACCAAAGCAAUUUUGUUAAUGCGGAGAAAGCUAAAACUAAAAGUCUUAAGAUGAAGAACUUUAGGGCCUUUUAGGUGAAAGCAAAUCAAGCUUCAAGAAACAUGGUGGCAAGAUAAACCUGUGGUGGGAACUCUGGUUUUCUAUUCUUUGGAGUGGCAGAGAAAGAGAAGAUUUUAUAGAAGCGGACGAGCAAGUUCACUAUUUACAAAAAUUGAACUAACAUGUUAAUUUUAUCAGCUUUUUCUUCUAUAAUUCAUGAAAUCCAAAACUCUCAAGCCUCGCAUUGUAUAGAGAAUUAGAUUCCAGAUUGAAUUGAAGCGGGUGUGGAUCCAUUCC